AGAGUUUGAUCCUGGCUCAGGAUUAACGCUGGCGGCGUGCCUAACACAUGCAAGUCGAACGAGGUAGCAAUACCUAGUGGCAGACGGGUGAGUAACGCGUGGUCAACCUACCCUUGAGUGGGGGAUAACUAGCCGAAAGGUUAGCUAAUACCGCAUACGUGUCCGGGGGGCAUCCCCUGGCCAUAAAAGGAGCAAUCCGCUCGAGGACGGGACCGCGUCCCAUUAGCUAGUUGGUGGGGUAAUGGCCUACCAAGGCACCGAUGGGUAGCUGGUUUGAGAGAGCGACCAGCCACACUGGGACUGAGAAACGGCCCAGACUCCUACGGGAGGCAGCAGUGAGGAAUUUUCCGCAAUGGGCGAAAGCCUGACGGAGCGACGCCGCGUGUGGGAAGAAGGCCUUCGGGUCGUAAACCACUGUCGAAGGGGACGAUAAUGACGGUACCCUUGGAGGAAGCCCCGGCUAACUACGUGCCAGCAGCCGCGGUAAGACGUAGGGGGCAAGCGUUAUUCGGAAUUAUUGGGCGUAAAGCGCUCGUAGGCGGGACUGCAAGUCCGUGUUGAAAGACCUCGGCUCAACUGAGGGACCGGCGCGGAUACUGUGGUUCUUGAGGCAAUCAGAGGGUGAUGGAAUUCCCGGUGUAGCGGUGAAAUACGUAGAUAUCGGGAGGAACACCAGUGGCGAAGGCGAUCACCUGGGGUUGUUCUGACGCUGAGGAGCGAAAGCUAGGGGAGCAAACGGGAUUAGAUACCCUAGUAGUCC
rnacentral:rRNA from 1 species